GAGCGAUCUUCUUCGGAAUAGAGCGGCGGACGGGUGAGUAACGCGUGGGUAACCUGCCCUGUACACACGGAUAACAUACCGAAAGGUAUGCUAAUACGGGAUAAUAUAUGAAAGUCACAUGACUUUUAUAUCAAAGCUUUUGCGGUACAGGAUGGACCCGCGUCUGAUUAGCUAGUUGGUAAGGUAAUGGCUUACCAAGGCGACGAUCAGUAGCCGACCUGAGAGGGUGAUCGGCCACACUGGAACUGAGACACGGUCCAUACUCCUACGGGAGGCAGCAGUGGGGAAUAUUGCACAAUGGGCGAAAGCCUGAUGCAGCAACGCCGCGUGAGCGAUGAAGGCCUUCGGGUCGUAAAGCUCUGUCCUCAAGGAAGAUAAUGACGGUACUUGAGGAGGAAGCCCCGGCUAACUACGUGCCAGCAGCCGCGGUAAU
rnacentral:rRNA from 1 species